rnacentral:rRNA from 1 species
UUAAGCGACUAAGCGUACACGGUGGAUGCCCUGGCAGUCAGAGGCGAUGAAGGACGUGCUAAUCUGCGAUAAGCGUCGGUAAGGUGAUAUGAACCGUUAUAACCGGCGAUUUCCGAAUGGGGAAACCCAGUGUGUUUCGACACACUAUCAUUAACUGAAUCCAUAGGUUAAUGAGGCGAACCGGGGGAACUGAAACAUCUAAGUACCCCGAGGAAAAGAAAUCAACCGAGAUUCCCCCAGUAGCGGCGAGCGAACGGGGAGCAGCCCAGAGCCUGAAUCAGUGUGUGUGUUAGUGGAAGCGUCUGGAAAGGCGCGCGAUACAGGGUGACAGCCCCGUACACAAAAAUGCACAUGCUGUGAGCUCGAUGAGUAGGGCGGGACACGUGGUAUCCUGUCUGAAUAUGGGGGGACCAUCCUCCAAGGCUAAAUACUCCUGACUGACCGAUAGUGAACCAGUACCGUGAGGGAAAGGCGAAAAGAACCCCGGCGAGGGGAGUGAAAAAGAACCUGAAACCGUGUACGUACAAGCAGUGGGAGCACGCUUAGGCGUGUGACUGCGUACCUUUUGUAUAAUGGGUCAGCGACUUAUAUUCUGUAGCAAGGUUAACCGAAUAGGGGAGCCGAAGGGAAACCGAGUCUUAACUGGGCGUUAAGUUGCAGGGUAUAGACCCGAAACCCGGUGAUCUAGCCAUGGGCAGGUUGAAGGUUGGGUAACACUAACUGGAGGACCGAACCGACUAAUGUUGAAAAAUUAGCGGAUGACUUGUGGCUGGGGGUGAAAGGCCAAUCAAACCGGGAGAUAGCUGGUUCUCCCCGAAAGCUAUUUAGGUAGCGCCUCGUGAAUUCAUCUCCGGGGGUAGAGCACUGUUUCGGCAAGGGGGUCAUCCCGACUUACCAACCCGAUGCAAACUGCGAAUACCGGAGAAUGUUAUCACGGGAGACACACGGCGGGUGCUAACGUCCGUCGUGAAGAGGGAAACAACCCAGACCGCCAGCUAAGGUCCCAAAGUCAUGGUUAAGUGGGAAACGAUGUGGGAAGGCCCAGACAGCCAGGAUGUUGGCUUAGAAGCAGCCAUCAUUUAAAGAAAGCGUAAUAGCUCACUGGUCGAGUCGGCCUGCGCGGAAGAUGUAACGGGGCUAAACCAUGCACCGAAGCUGCGGCAGCGACACUAUGUGUUGUUGGGUAGGGGAGCGUUCUGUAAGCCUGUGAAGGUGUGCUGUGAGGCAUGCUGGAGGUAUCAGAAGUGCGAAUGCUGACAUAAGUAACGAUAAAGCGGGUGAAAAGCCCGCUCGCCGGAAGACCAAGGGUUCCUGUCCAACGUUAAUCGGGGCAGGGUGAGUCGACCCCUAAGGCGAGGCCGAAAGGCGUAGUCGAUGGGAAACAGGUUAAUAUUCCUGUACUUGGUGUUACUGCGAAGGGGGGACGGAGAAGGCUAUGUUGGCCGGGCGACGGUUGUCCCGGUUUAAGCGUGUAGGCUGGUUUUCCAGGCAAAUCCGGAAAAUCAAGGCUGAGGCGUGAUGACGAGGCACUACGGUGCUGAAGCAACAAAUGCCCUGCUUCCAGGAAAAGCCUCUAAGCAUCAGGUAACAUCAAAUCGUACCCCAAACCGACACAGGUGGUCAGGUAGAGAAUACCAAGGCGCUUGAGAGAACUCGGGUGAAGGAACUAGGCAAAAUGGUGCCGUAACUUCGGGAGAAGGCACGCUGAUAUGUAGGUGAAGUCCCUCGCGGAUGGAGCUGAAAUCAGUCGAAGAUACCAGCUGGCUGCAACUGUUUAUUAAAAACACAGCACUGUGCAAACACGAAAGUGGACGUAUACGGUGUGACGCCUGCCCGGUGCCGGAAGGUUAAUUGAUGGGGUUAGCGCAAGCGAAGCUCUUGAUCGAAGCCCCGGUAAACGGCGGCCGUAACUAUAACGGUCCUAAGGUAGCGAAAUUCCUUGUCGGGUAAGUUCCGACCUGCACGAAUGGCGUAAUGAUGGCCAGGCUGUCUCCACCCGAGACUCAGUGAAAUUGAACUCGCUGUGAAGAUGCAGUGUACCCGCGGCAAGACGGAAAGACCCCGUGAACCUUUACUAUAGCUUGACACUGAACAUUGAGCCUUGAUGUGUAGGAUAGGUGGGAGGCUUUGAAGUGUGGACGCCAGUCUGCAUGGAGCCGACCUUGAAAUACCACCCUUUAAUGUUUGAUGUUCUAACGUUGACCCGUAAUCCGGGUUGCGGACAGUGUCUGGUGGGUAGUUUGACUGGGGCGGUCUCCUCCUAAAGAGUAACGGAGGAGCACGAAGGUUGGCUAAUCCUGGUCGGACAUCAGGAGGUUAGUGCAAUGGCAUAAGCCAGCUUGACUGCGAGCGUGACGGCGCGAGCAGGUGCGAAAGCAGGUCAUAGUGAUCCGGUGGUUCUGAAUGGAAGGGCCAUCGCUCAACGGAUAAAAGGUACUCCGGGGAUAACAGGCUGAUACCGCCCAAGAGUUCAUAUCGACGGCGGUGUUUGGCACCUCGAUGUCGGCUCAUCACAUCCUGGGGCUGAAGUAGGUCCCAAGGGUAUGGCUGUUCGCCAUUUAAAGUGGUACGCGAGCUGGGUUUAGAACGUCGUGAGACAGUUCGGUCCCUAUCUGCCGUGGGCGCUGGAGAACUGAGGGGGGCUGCUCCUAGUACGAGAGGACCGGAGUGGACGCAUCACUGGUGUUCGGGUUGUCAUGCCAAUGGCACUGCCCGGUAGCUAAAUGCGGAAGAGAUAAGUGCUGAAAGCAUCUAAGCACGAAACUUGCCCCGAGAUGAGUUCUCCCUGACCCUUUAAGGGUCCUGAAGGAACGUUGAAGACGACGACGUUGAUAGGCCGGGUGUGUAAGCGCAGCGAUGCGUUGAGCUAACCGGUACUAAUGAACCGUGAGGCUUAACCUU